AUUGAACGCUGGCGGCAGGCCUAACACAUGCAAGUCGAACGAGUGGCGGACGGGUGAGUAAUGUCUGGGAAACUGCCCGAUGGAGGGGGAUAACUACUGGAAACGGUAGCUAAUACCGCAUACCAUCGGAUGUGCCCAGAUGGGAUUAGCUAGUAGGUGGGGUAACGGCUCACCUAGGCGACGAUCCCUAGCUGGUCUGAGAGGAGGACCGGCCACACUGGGACUGAGACACGGUCAAGACUCCUACGGGAGGCAGCAGUAGGGAAUAUUGCACAAUGGACGCAAGCCUGAUGCAGCAAUGCCGCGUGUCUGAAGAAGGCCUUCGGGUUGUAAAGUAAUUUCAGCGAGGAGGCGUUAAUCAAAAAAGAAGCACCGGCUAACUCCGUGCCAGCCGCCGCGGUAAUAG
rnacentral:rRNA from 1 species